GAUCGGGUGGGGGGCAACCAGCCCAUGGUCCUGAAGCACAUGCAGUUCUUGAUAGAAAGAAAGAUCCUUGGAUCCAAGAGCCUGACAUUCAUCCCAUCAGGAUUAUCCCCUGGUCAAAGCAAACUUAAAUUCUGUUGGCUUUUUGCCUGCUGGAUUUGAUUAUGUAUAGGAAGUUAGUCAAGGAUUCUCAUAAAUCUUGACCACAGCAGAGCUUCUGUUCUCUGUUCCCAGCAAGCAGGAGGAGAUGGAGGAGGACAUCUCAGGGCUUGGUGCUACCUGCUGGAUUUGUCCCCCUGGCCCAUGCAGGAGUGGUGUAGGCUGGCAGCAAGCUUCACUCAUGGGAAGAGGGACACCCUAACCCACAUUGUGCACUCUACUGGGAGCUGGAAUGUUUAUGACUGCACACAUGCAGAUAUCUGCUCAGCAGAUGAGCAUUUUGCCCACCUUUGGAGCGCCUUGCCCUGCAAACCACUGCAGGAGAGCUGGCAUGCUGGGAGACCUGGUGGCAUCCUGUGUAAGAUGCUUUGGUAGCUUUUAGCAAAAGAUGUUGAGGCAGCGUGCAAGUGAUUCAUAGUUGGGGUUUUCUCUUCCUUUUUGCUGUGUGAAGCUGCAGAGGUGUUUUCUCCCUACUGCCCACCUUGUCCUCAGCCACCCCUAAGAAAUCUCUACAUGGGGCCCAUGUGAUGACUCAGCCCCCUCAGGAGACCCGGGGGUAUUUCCCCCACCUUCCCAUCAGUGAUUUCUCUGGUGAGAAAGUCCUCCAAGGCUGUGCCUCGGCUCUUGCGGCUCACCAGAAUGCAAAGGUCAUGUCCUGCUGGGUGUGAUCAAGCCAGCGCGCUUGUUCAUCGUUAUUUUGAUCAAGCAGAGACCUGAAACAAGAUGACUUGUCUUUUUCUUUCAUUAUUUGCCCAAUGAAAAAUGUUCACAGCUUAGCUGCUAUCUAAGCAUUCCUAAGAACAAGGGUAGAAGGGAAGCAUGGCCGCUGUUAUGAUCUCUGUGCACCAUGCACAGGGGCUGGGUGGGGAUUUUAUAGGCAGUGACCCCAGCUGGCUCCGGGGCCUCCUCACUAGGCUGCCUGUGCAUCCUUUGCCAGUGCUACAGGGCUCCUUUCUGCUUGUGAGAUGGAAGCUGUGUCAGUUUGAGUCCUGAUCCUAGACAAAGCAGGUGUCACAGGCUAUGCUGUAGCCGUUGGCUGUAGCAUUCGCCAGCAGGAAAGGGCAUGGUAUAGAUUGUUAGUGGUACAUCACCGGGACCCAGAUGGGUCUUAGAGCUGUCUUGCUCCUCUUGGUGCCUGUGUUCUUCAACUAGCCUUGAGCUGAGUUUCUCCUCGCUGCUUUGAAUACUGUCUUGCUAAUGCAGGUCCCAUCCCAGCUGUGCUGCCAGUGCCCUUCCUUUUACUUCUUUAGUAACAUGUUCUGAUGUUUUUUUCCCCUUUUGUUUUCUUCACAGAUUUAUCUGGAAAGUAUGAGCAGCGAGAGAAGCUUAAUCACCAUUAGAUAAGUAUUACAGAUGACUCAUGCUAGAAUACUGAUAGCUGUGCAGCUGACAUGAAUAUGUUCGCAUCAAGAGCCAGGAACCUUAACCCACCCUGUGCUUUCCCACUAACAUGUUUUGGUUCUCUAGCACCUUUUACCCCCCGAUUUGUCCACCUGAACAGCUCACAGAAGUGUUUUUGCCUCCUUGAGGGGUUACAGGGUACAUGUCACUUGAAACCAAAUUGAAAGAUGUCAUCUUAAAAUGAGAGCUGCUGAUGAAUGGCUUCAGUCUUGUAGGUAUUCUCCAGGACAACCUGCAGUUUGUCUUUUUAAUAGAGGCAGUUAAUGGCUUUCCUCGAUUCUUUGUGUUUUUCUUCUGUUUUCUUUCCAGAGCCAUUGACUGCUUUUCCAGCAGAACAGCCCCAAGAAUCCAGAACAGGUAAGACAGCUGCUGCUUUGGGGUGCUCAUGUGACUCACUAAAGACAAAAUGCUGGCUGCAGUGUAGGCAGCAGAAAAAAAAAAAAACAUUGGCUUGACUGUGGUAAGAAUGGCAUCCGCCAUGCUUGGACCCAUCAGAGCACAGGGAGUGGGGCAGAAUGAGCAGACUUCCAGGAGGCAUGGUCCUGGGCCCCCUACUCUGAGUGUCCCUGCUUGAGCAGAGGUCAGACCAGAAGGAACCACAGGUCCCUGCCAACUUCACCCAUUCUGCGAUUCUGUGGAGGUAGCACAUGGCAGGAGCUACUGGGGAGGUGUCAGUCCCUGUCUCCAUUAGCUGGAGGUGGGUAGACAACUUGGAGGGGUGCAAAGAGAAGUCAAAAGGAGACAUUUGGAUGAGGAGUGCUGCAGAGAGGGAUGUGCCUCUGAUGGCAAAGUGAGCAAGGCUCUGCGUCAACUCCUGUAUUCAUGGCUCAGCCUGCUGAAGAAGCUCAUUUUCCAUGAGGAUGCUGGGCCGUGACCCUGCGCAGCCCAUACAAGCAAAGUGUUCCCUUGUGCCAUCAGCAAGCUGAGACCGGAGCUGCAGCAAAGUCAUGAUAGCGCAUCAGGUGCUGCAAUUGUUUUCACAGUGACAGAGAAUAGGAGCACACUGUGUAGAGAAAUCUUGCUUGAGGAUCUGUCCCGAUGACAUGACUCUGAUGCUUCCCUACACUGAUUGCAAGCACUGAUGCAGGAUCCACAUUUCAAGGUUUUCGAACUAUGGAAGCUCUCUGGAGGAGCUGCACCAUGCGCUGCCGACCCCAGAGUGGGGAGGGAGGAGGAGCUGCGGUGUACCUUUGCAUGGAGGACUUGUGGAAAAACAUUGAUAUGAUUGAGACAGCCAUACUGUUGUGGUGAGAGGUGAGCAGAUGCCACUAUCAGAAAACACAUUUAAAGUUUUGUCUAGCACUUUUAUUUUUCAUUCUUCCUGCCUACCCUGCUUCAGUUUUCCAGGUUAAACUCGUGCAUGAAGGACAUGUCUUAUUAUUUUGGGUAUUCUGUGUUCUUCAUUGUUAUUUAGAUACAUAACUUGCAGAAUAUUGCUUCUAGCAGGGCAGUUCCUCUUCAGCGAGAUGUUAAUGAG